GCCCUCGUGGCCCAACCGGACAGGGCGCCGGCCUUCGAAGCCGGGAGGUGCGGGUUCGACUCCCGCCGAGGGUGCCC
rnacentral:tRNA from 1 species